rnacentral:rRNA from 1 species
GACGAACGCUGGCGGCGUGCUUAACACAUGCAAGUCGAACGGUGAAGGGACUGGUUUUGCUGGUCCUGGAUGAGUGGCGAACGGGUGAGUAACACGUGAGUAACCUGCCCCCUUCUUCUGGAUAACCGCAUGAAAGUGUGGCUAAUACGGGAUAUUCUGGGUCUGUCGCAUGGUGGGCCUGGGAAAGAUUGCGCCUUUUUUGGUGUUUUUGGUGGGGGAUGGGCUCGCGGCCUAUCAGCUUGUUGGUGGGGUGAUGGCCUACCAAGGCGGUGACGGGUAGCCGGCCUGAGAGGGUGGACGGUCACACUGGGACUGAGACACGGACCAGACUCCUACGGGAGGCAGCAGUGGGGAAUAUUGCACAAUGGGCGCAAGCCUGAUGCAGCGACGCCGCGUGAGGGAUGGAGGCCUUCGGGUUGUGAACCUCUUUCGCCAGUGAAGCAGGCCUGCCUCUUUUUGUGGGUGGGUUGACGGUAGCUGGAGAAGAAGCGCCGGCUAACUACGUG